CCGAUGCGACCGGCGCACGGGUGAGUAACGCGUAUGCAACUUACCUAUCAGAGGGGGAUAGCCCGGCGAAAGUCGGAUUAAUACCCCAUAAAACAGGGGUCCCGCAUGGGAAUAUUUGUUAAAGAUUCAUCGCUGAUAGAUAGGCAUGCGUUCCAUUAGGCAGUUGGCGGGGUAACGGCCCACCAAACCGACGAUGGAUAGGGGUUCUGAGAGGAAGGUCCCCCACAUUGGUACUGAGACACGGACCAA
rnacentral:rRNA from 1 species